GGAAAAGAGCUGUCAUAGAUGGAUGGUUCCCUUCUGGGACGCACUGAGAGGUGCUGCAUGGCUGUCGUCAGCUCGUGUCGUGAGAUGUUCGGUUAAUUCCGGCAACAACCGCAACCCACCUCUUUAAUUGCCACCAGUUCGGCUGGGCACUCAAUAUAAACUGCCCGUGAUAAUCGGGAGGAAGGAGUGGAUGAACUCCAUUCCUCCUGGCCCUUACUGAUUGGGCUACACACGUGCUACAAUGGUAGUGACAAUGGGUUAAUCCCCAAAAGUUAUCUCGGUUCAAAUUGGGGUCUGUGGCUCCACCUCAUAAUGUCGGAAUCACUACUACUCCCGUAACACCAAGACGCGGUGAAUACCUUCCCGGGUCUUGUACACACCGAAC
rnacentral:rRNA from 1 species